rnacentral:rRNA from 1 species
AUUGAACGCUGGCGGCAUGCCUUACACAUGCAAGUCGAACGGUAACAGGUCUUCGGAUGCUGACGAGUGGCGAACGGGUGAGUAAUACAUCGGAACGUGCCCAGACGUGGGGGAUAACGAGGCGAAAGCUUUGCUAAUACCGCAUACGAUCUAAGGAUGAAAGCAGGGGACCGCAAGGCCUUGCGCGUUUGGAGCGGCCGAUGGCAGAUUAGGUAGUUGGUGGGAUAAAAGCUUACCAAGCCGACGAUCUGUAGCUGGUCUGAGAGGACGACCAGCCACACUGGCACUGAGACACGGCCCAGACUCCUACGGGAGGCAGCAGUGGGGAAUUUUGGACAAUGGGCGAAAGCCUGAUCCAGCAAUGCCGCGUGCAGGAUGAAGGCCUUCGGCUUGUAAACUGCUUUUGUACGGAACGAAAAGGCUCUGGCUAAUACCUGGGGCACAUGACGGUACCGUAAGAAUAAGCACCGGCUAACUACGUG